rnacentral:rRNA from 1 species
UACGUAGGGGCCGAGCGUUGUCCGGAGUUAUUGGGCGUAAAGCGCGCGCAGGCGGCUUGACGCGCCCGACGUGAAAGCCCCCGGCUUAACCGGGGAGGGUCGUCGGGUACGGUCAGGCUUGAGGGCGGGAGAGGGUGGUGGAAUUCCCGGUGUAGUGGUGAAAUGCGUAGAGAUCGGGAAGAACAUCGGUGGCGAAGGCGGCCUGCUGGGCUCUUGCUGACACUGAGGCGCGACAGCGUGGGGAGCAAACAGG